rnacentral:misc_RNA from 1 species
CCAAACUUGGUCAUUUAGAGGAAGUAAAAGUCGUAACAAGGUUUCCGUAGGUGAACCUGCGGAAGGAUCAUUAACGAGUUUUGAAAGCGGGGCCUGCUGCUGGUGUGGAAACACACAUGUGCACGGCUCCGUGCUCGAUCCACUCAACCCCUGUGCACCUUUGCAAAGUGGAGUAGGCCUCACUCUUUGAAGUGUCCAGUCACCAGUAGGGUGAGCGUGCAUGAGCGCCAGUAGCCUGAAAGUGAGUGUCUUUCGUUCGGAGGGAGUGGUCGAAAGCUUUGAUCUUUAUCAACCUUUUUGCGUGUCUUGUGAAUGUGAUGCUCUUUGUGGGUGGAAUAAAUACAACUUUCAACAACGGAUCUCUUGGCUCUCGCAUCGAUGAAGAACGCAGC